CUUUGAAACAAUUCCGACACCUCAGAGCUGUUUAGGGUGAAACAAAUCUGUCAAAUGCUUCGUAUUGGAGAUGUAGUCUUUAAAAGUUAAAAGUCAAAAGU